GCCUCGGUACUGUAAUGGAUCAGCUCGGCAGACCGGAUGAUAUCUGUAAGUGCGGGUUCGAGUCCCGCCUGAGGUU
rnacentral:tRNA from 1 species